rnacentral:rRNA from 1 species
UAGGGAAUAUUGGGCAAUGGACGGAAGUCUGACCCAGCCAUGCCGCGUGCAGGAAGAAGGCGCUCAGCGUUGUAAACUGCUUUUAUCGGGGAAGAACGGCAGUCCUGCGGGAUUGUGUGACGGUACUCGAGGAAUAAGCACCGGCUAACUCCGUGCCAGCAGCCGCGGUAAUACGUAGGGUGCGAGCGUUGUCCGUACUGAUUGGGUGUAAAGGGUGCGUAGGUGGUUGAGUAAGUCUGGUUUGAAAGUCAGUCGCUUAACGAUUGAGGGUGGCUGGAUACUGCUGAACUUGAAUGCACUGGAGGAGGGUGGAACGGGUUGUGUAGCGGUGAAAUGCAUGGAUAUGAGACAGAAACCCAAUGGCGAAGGCAGCUUACUACGGAAUGAUUGACACUGAGACACGAGAGCAUGGGGAGCAAACA